CUCUCUCUCUCUCCCCCCUCCCAACUACCCACAUUCCCUCCAACGUCUCUCUCUCUCUCAGCCCAAGAAAUCUGACGGCCGGGAAAAAUGGCGGAGAUGGAGGAAGGCCUCCGCGACCCAGAGCAGCAAGAAGAGGAGCAGCCAUGGGAGGAAAGAACUCUAAGCCGCCUCCAAGACUCCAAGAUCGAUCAUGGUCCCCCGCUCCCCAUGUUUCCACCCCCUUUCUUUCUUUCUUUCUUUCUUCCAUCUUGAUACUUUGAUGGCGCUCUCUCUUUCCUUUUGGCGGGUUUCCAGAGCUCUCCGGGGCGAAGGAGCGGAAAGAGUUGGGGGCAAGAAGCACAAGGUGAAGUGGAUGAAGAGGCCAAUGACCAUGCCCCAGGCCAUCAUCGAGUUCCUCGACGAAGAUCUUCGGGAGAACGCCUCCAGAUACCUAAGCAGCUACCUCGUCGAGAGUUGCAAGGAAUGUUGUGGACCGUGGAGUUAUAAUUUGUUACUUUUUACUGUGUAAGCAUUUUGAAUAUUUUGUUGUU